rnacentral:rRNA from 1 species
CCUACGGGCGUCAGCAGUGGGGAAUAUUGCACAAUGGGGGAAACCCUGAUGCAGCGACGCCGCGUGAGUGAAGAAGUAACUCGUUAUGUAAAGUUCUAUCAUCAGGGACGAAAAUGACGGUACCUGAGUAAGAAGCCCCGGCUAACUACGGGCCAGCAGCCGCGGUAAUACGGAGGGGGCAAGCGUUAUCCGGAUUUAUUGGGUGGAAAGGGAGCGUAGACGGCAGUGCAAGUCUGGAGUGAAAGGCGCGGGCUCAACCCUAGAACUGCUCUGGAAACUGUACGGCUGGAGUGCAGGAGAGGUAAGUGGAAUUCCUAGUGUAGCGGUGAAAUGCGUAGAUAUUAGGAGGAACACCAGUGGCGAAGGCGGCUUACUGGACUGUAACUGACGUUGAGGCUCGAAAGCGUGGGGAGCAAACAGGAUUAGAUACCCCGGUAGUC